UUUAAUUUCUAAAUAAUUUUCAAAUACAAUAGCUUCUAAAAACAUUAGCCCGUGUGGGAGCACGGGUUGAUAGACUAGUACCUCAUAAUUUGAAACAGAGGGACGUGUAAUGUGAAAAUAUAAUCUGCAUGUGUAUGCUGAUGAUAUCCUCGUCUCCACAUACGCAAACUCUACCUCUACCCUUAUCAAAGAAAAAAAAACUCUACCUCUACCCUUAUCAAAGAAAAAAAAACUCUACCUCUAUGAGAAUGAGCUGAUAGAUUUUAUUGACGAAGUUACCAUGCCUCGCUGCUACCACUAUAAGAAUUAGCACCAUUAUAAUUCCUAUAAUAAAUACCGAGGAAUAUGACUCAAACCUAUAUGGACAAAUUUCACCACAUUAAAUCCUGCACUCAAGUUCGCUCCUUAAUUGCACGAACAUACAAAUCAGACAAUCUAACAAAAAAGAAAAUUAGUGAUGUGCUAGUCAACUUCUACAGUUGCACAUCACAAAAAAUUCUGCUUCAAUAUUUUCUCGUAUUUAUUUCAUCCUAUUUUUUUAAAAAAAGUUAUGUGACUGUAUUUGUUAAUUUGUUUAACGCAGCAACAGAAUCAAGGUCAUGAAGAAUAUGCUCAGACUCAAGAUGAAGUCAAGAGCUGACUUCCUACUAGCUACAUUAAUUUAUUCCUAAAUGAGAUA
rnacentral:lncRNA from 1 species